rnacentral:rRNA from 1 species
AUUGAACGCUGGCGGCAGGCCUAACACAUGCAAGUCGAAUGGCAACAGAAUAAAGCUUGCUGUUUAGCUGAGGAGUGGCGCGCGCGGGUGAAAUGUACGGGAAACUCUACGUUGGAGGGGGAUAAAUAGUGGAAAAGCUUACUCUAACAGCAUAUAGUCGCAAGACGUAAGAGGGGGACAUCCGGGGAUCUUGCGCUCAGAAAUGACCAGAUGGGAUUAGCUAGUAGGUGGGGUAAAGGCUCACCCAGGCGACGAUCCCUAGCUGGUCUGAGAGGAUGACCAGCCACACUGGAACUGAGACACGGUCCAGACUCCUACGGGAGGCAGCAGUGGGGAAUAUUGCACAAUGGGCGCAAGCCUGAUGCAGCCAUGCCGCGUGUAUGAAGAAGGCCUUCGGGUUGUAAAGUACUUUUGGCGGGAAAGAAGGGAGGAAGGUUAAUACCUUGGCGCAUUGACGUUACCCAAAGAAUAAGCACCGGCUAACUCCGUG